GGCUUAGAGCUAGCUGGUUCCUCGAAACUGGGUACUGUUCUCAGUUGGCAUGAACUGGUGGGUCGAGCGACUUGACUUUCAUCACAAGGCCCACAGCUGAUGGAUGUUGAUAGGAGAAUAACUGGAUUUAUUUUCUUGCUAGUAUGGAUUGUUCUUCUCCUCGUAUUUUCUCUUCUUCUCUUUUUAUUUUUAUUUUUAUCAUAUGCAGAAAUGUUGAGAACACCAGACAUUUGACUUUGAACCGAUACCUAAAUGGUCUUCAAAGAAGGCCUAAAACUCGUAUUUUGAAAUGGAGUCAUGCAUAUGCGAGUCACUUUGUCUGUGCCGAUGCAGUUGGUUGGCAAAUAUCAGCACUAAAAAGUUGCCGCAAAAUGAAC
rnacentral:sRNA from 2 species